rnacentral:sRNA from 1 species
CUUUAGUCCUUAUCGAAAUGGCAUCCUUUUUUCUAUUUUUUAUAGAAAAAAGAUAUAAUGGAUGGCUGAAACCCAU